ACGGCCCACCAAGCCUUCGAUGGAUAGGGGUUCUGAGAGGAAGGUCCCCCACAUUGGAACUGAGACACGGUCCAAACUCCUACGGGAGGCAGCAUG
rnacentral:rRNA from 1 species